UACGUAGGGGAGCGAGCGUUGUCCGGAAUCAUUGGGCGUAAAGAGCGCGUAGGUGGAUCAAUUAGUCUGCUGUGAAAGUCAAAGGCUCAACCUUUGAAAGCCGGUGGAUACUGUUGAUCUAGAGUACGGAAGAGGCGAGUGGAAUUCCUGGUGUAGCGGUGGAAUGCGCAGAUAUCAGGAGGAACACCAUAGCGAAGGCAGCUCGCUGGGACGUUACUGACAGCGUGAGGCGC
rnacentral:rRNA from 1 species